GACGACGCUGGCGGCGUGGAUUAGGCAUGCAAGUCGAACGGUAUCAUCCUUCGGGGGUGAGAGAGUGGCGAACUGGUGAGUAACACGUAGGUUAUCUACCCUCAAGACGGGGACAACCCGGGGAAACUUGGGCUAAUACCGGAUGUGAGCAACUUUUAGUUGUUUGAAAGGUGGCGUAAGCUGUCGCUUGGGGAUGAGCCUGCGUCCUAUUAGUUAGUUGGUGAGGUAACGGCUCACCUAGGCAAUGAUAGGUAGGCGGCCUUAACGGGUGGUCGCCCACACUGGGAUUGAGAUACGGCCCAGACUCCUACGGGAGGCAGCAGUCGAGAAUAGUCUACAAUGGUCGGAAGACUGAUAGUGCGACGCCGCGUGAACGAUGAAUCCCUUCGGGGUGUAAAGUUCUUUUAUAUGUGAGCAGUGCUUCUUAUAUUAACAGUAUGGGGAGAGAGAUAUUAGCAUAUGAAUAAGCAACGGCUAACUCCGUG
rnacentral:rRNA from 1 species